AGCAGGACAGUGUCGACUCAGAGCAAGAGCCUGGGUAUAGAUUUCAAACACAUCUCCAAUUGGACAGGAUCCAAUACAGAGCACCUAAUUUGAAGAACUAUUCACACAUGCAAAUUCCUCUUGGGUGAUUCUUUUAAAAGAUGUUUCAUUAAUCCUUCUGUAUUCACAGAUCCUAUCACUGCUGUUUAUUCCAGAAUGUGCCAUAUUGACGAUCUUUCAACAGAACCUCAGACAAUGAAGUUAUCUGCUACACAGAAGAAUGAGGAGCCUCCAGUGGCGCAGCGGAUUAAACCGCAGGGCUGCUGAACUUGCUGACCAAAAGGCUGGCAGUUUGAAUCCGGGGAGCGGUGUGAGCUCCCACUACUUAGCCCCAGCUUCUGUCAACCUAGCAGUUCAAAAACAUGCAAAUAGCUAGUGUUGUGACUGCGCCUUCGGGGAUUAUGGUUGAUGGUGAUGGGAUCCGAAGAGGAAGAAAAAACCCUCAUUCACUGGAGGAGUUGCGCAGGAAGCUACUUAGAGAGCUAUAUGGGGGAUCUUCUGAGGAAGAUUCAGAUGGGGAGUUUGGGGAAAUGGAUGCUGAGGAACAGGUGGUGGCUGGGGAAGUGGGCACUGAAUGGGCACAGCCACCAGAGAUGUCUGGGGAUUUGGGGCCUAUGGAUACUACUGAACCUGGGGUUUCUGCAGGAGCUGAUCCCACUUGGGAUGCUUGGAGAAGGGAGGAUGGUUCUUUAAGUGUUCAUGGGGCUAAGUAUGGGCAGGAUGAUUGGGACUCCGAUGAAUUGCUAGGUACUCCAGAUCCACGAGCUCUAGCUGUGUGGAGUUCGGACUCUGAGUAGAUUUGGGACACUUGGUGUUUGGGUGUGAGUGUUUGGUCACCCAGGAGGAAGGGGAAUAAAAUGGGAAUGUUUGGCCAAUGCACUUUGCGUGUGGCAAGGUGUUGCUGAGGCGCCAUUGGGAUCUCUGUGUUUCCGUGAAGACUGGACUUGGACUGUGAUUCGGAUCUGCUGAUACCAUCUGGCUUGGCUCUCGCUGUGUCUUAUCGUGGACCUGGUUUGGAUGACUGCACCCUCUUCGGACUUUGGAUUGAAUUUGACCUGGCUUCUGUCUACGCUCCCUGACUGACGACUACUCCCGGCUUCUGGCUUCUGGAAUUUGCUGCUGCCUCCUGACCUGACCUUGGAUUCUUCUGACGACGGCUAUUCAUCAUCCCUUUGAAGCUCUCGGCUUUAUCUGCACCGUGGAAGCAGUUUUACUGCUCUUCUAGUUUGUUUGUUUUUAAGCCAGUUUGCUGUUUUUCUUUUGGGAACUGUCCCUUUAACUCUGCAGCUUUUGGAAGGUUGCAAGCCUUCGUUUAUUUUGCAUGUUAUUGCAGUCAACUCUAUUUGUUUCUUCUAAGCUGAAUUGAAGCGUCCUUAGUUUUUAUUGAAUGCCAGCAUGGGAAAAUAGCAUGGCUUGUUUUUGUGUUAUUUUUGGCUUAUCUUCAGAAUAAACUCUGUUUUGUUUGUUAACUGGCGUCUAACUCUUGACAGCUAGUUUAUUGUUUUUC